CGAACGGGUGAGUAACGCGUGAGGAACCUGCCUCAAAGAGGGGGACAACAGUUGGAAACGACUGCUAAUACCGCAUAAGCCCACGGCUCGGCAUCGAGCAGAGGGAAAAGGAGUGAUCCGCUUUGAGAUGGCCUCGCGUCCGAUUAGCUAGUUGGUGAGGUAACGGCCCACCAAGGCGACGAUCGGUAGCCGGACUGAGAGGUUGAACGGCCACAUUGGGACUGAGGCACGGCCCAG
rnacentral:rRNA from 1 species